GAUGAACGCUGGCGGCGUGCCUAAUACAUGCAAGUCGAGCGAACAGACGAGGAGCUUGCUCCUCUGACGUUAGCGGCGGACGGGUGAGUAACACGUGGAUAACCUACCUAUAAGACUUGGAUAACUUCGGGAAACCGGAGCUAAUACCGUAUAACAUGUUGAACCGCAUGGUUCAACUUUGAAAUACGUUCUUUCUGUCACUUAUAGAUGGAUCCCCGCCGCAUUAGCUAGUUGGUAAGGUAACGGCUUACCAAGGCAACGAUUCGUAGCCGACCUGAGAGGGUGAUCGGCCACACUGGAACUGAGACACGGUACAGAAUACUACGGGAGGCAGCAGUAGGGAAUAUUCCGAAAUGGGCGAAAGCCUGACGGAGCAACGCCGCGUGAGAGAAGAAGGUCUUCGGAUCGUAAAACUCUGUUAUUAGGGAAGAAAAAAUGUGUAAGUAACUAUGCACGUCUUGACGGUAACUAAUCAGAAAGCGACGGCUAACUACGUG
rnacentral:rRNA from 1 species